GUCUACGGCCAUUCCACCCUGAACGUGCCCGAUCUCGUCUGACCUCGGAAACUAGGAAGAGAAAAAACUUAGUUCACCUAGAAAAAGUACAAAAAAUAAGUUUCCUACUUUGUAGUCA
ensembl:rRNA 5S_rRNA 5S ribosomal RNA